rnacentral:lncRNA from 1 species
AGGCAUCUCGCUGUCUGCGCUGGGCACGGAGCGGCGCGCGCGCGCCCGUCUUUCCCUCGGCGGCCCCCGCGGCUCGGACCCGGGCCGGCAGACAGGCCAUCCAUCAUCCGCCCUCCUCCCGCGGAGCGCCGCAGCCGCCGCGGCCAAUCCGGCGGCAGGUGGGGCCGCACCUGCGCGACAGCCCGCCGCUUCCCUCCGCUCCCUUCGCCGCGCCUCGCGUGCUAGCGGUGCCCUUGUGAGCCACUGCGUUCUCCAAGGCCAGAACGGGACAGCAAAAAAGACAGAAGAUUAAAGGAUCUGAAGUUGACGAUGGUCGUACUUCUCCAUGUUCUGAGACCAGUUUAAACAAAAACAAAAACCAGACAACAACCUUGCAAGGGAAAGAAUUCAGAGUAAAUAAACAGUCUUUUUCUGGGAAGUAAAAUAUUUCCCUAAGAUGGAGAAAUUGAGAUGAGAGCUCAUCCACAAGAUUACCCAUCAAUGAGCACCAAUAGCAACCAAAUCCACUAGAAGACUGGGAGCUUUUAAGUCAAGAAACUUACAUCAGUAUCAUCAUUCCAAGAAGCGGUAUCCAAGCUGUUUUAUCGAAAGUGCGCAUGGGAGGGAUCUCAUCAGAGAGAGAGACAUCUUCGCCACUGCCAUGAAGUUUCAAGUACAGAACUCUUCCUCGUAAUCAAACUAUUUCUAUGAACAAUUCACUCAUCAUUGUGGGAAAGUCUAUUUUUCAUCUUAACACACAAACAGACAAUAACAAAAUUUGUGAUUUGGAUAAUCUGGAUCUGAUGUUCAUGCUCAAAAUGGAGGCAAUUCGUAAUACUGGUCUGAAGCAUUUAGUCAUUCACUGAGCAGAUACGUUAGGAGCAACAGGCAUGGGCUGUGUUUUUCUAGGCACUGUGAACACAGCAGUCAACGAAGUCAAAAACCUGUGCUCUUAAGGGACAUGAAUUGCCAAAUGGAAACACUAAGUUUUUCUAUUUAUGACCUAAAGCUAGUCAAAUAUCUCCAGAAGUAAGGUAGCUGAGUGAAGUGGUUCAUAAUCUUUCCAUGGGAGCCAAAUCCUCGGUGCUGUGACUCUUUUAGAUAAAUGAUAGUAAAAAUGAAUCAAAAGUUAAUUAGCUUGCACCUCAAUAAUCCAGUCUCCAUCACUGAUGGUCAUCGUGGAAUCUGCGUACAGAGGCAGCUGUAUACAGAUGACAGAGACAGCUCUAACACGUGACACAUUUAAGCACACAGAGGCGGAAGGACAUAAAGUUCCUGGUUGAUUUCCCUUUGGUGUUUGUGGGGAAAUAUCAAGGUCAUAAAAAGUCAGUUUCUAAUAAUCCCUCCAGUCCUCCAUUCCAUUCCCUAAUUUGUAUGCAAUGGCAUUUAACAUUUUGACUUUGCUUAAAAUAAAAUGUGUGUUUGUUUAACAUGCUCUGGAGAAAACUGGGCAGUUGCAGCUGCCAUAUUGACCUCAGUACACACACAGAAGAGCCAAGGGAAUUGCUUCUUUGGGGACUGGAGAUAAGACUCUGAGAAUUUAUAGAAACAAACAUUAGAAGGCAGGAAUGUGGAGAGAAGAAAGCUACCUGACAAGGGAAUCUCAGGAUACAAGGAAAACACCAAGGUGAAGACACUUAAAGAAGGUGACAUAUGACCACAAGAAUUAAGAACAAACAGGGAAACAUGAUAUCACAAGAAAAAAAUAUGAAGCCAGUGACUAACCCUGAAGGGACAGAGAAGAAUGUACUGCCUGACAAAGAAUUCAACAUAGUAGAAACAGUGAAUAUGAUAGAAUAUAAUUUCAGUGAUUAUGUUUCCUUAUAAAGCAAAAGAGAUUUUUCCAAAUGUAAUUAAGGUCCCUAAUCAGUUGACUGAGUUGAGUGACAGCAGAUACUCUCCUGCUCUCUUUAAAGAAGUCCCCAUGAGUCCCUACAGCCACAAUAAAUUGAAUUCUGCCAAAAAUCUUAAUAAGCUUGGAAGAAGACCUUCAGCUCCUGAUGAGAACCCAGCCAGAAACAAGAUGAGAACCCAGAAACAAGAUUUUCAUCUUAUUUCAACCUGAGCAGAGAACCCAGAGGAGCCCUGGCCAGAUUUUUGGUCUACAGGAUUGAGAAGACACCUGCCUGAGGGUCUUAUAGCUAAUGGACUGCAGAAGACUUGAGUCAUCAUUCAAAUUCAGUAGCCAUCCUCUGAUGUCCAGUUGAAGAUUGGUGA